UCCCGGUUGGCCCGGGCAGUCUCGCGUGAAAAAUUCAACACACGAUAAGGGUUGCGCUCGUUGCGGGACUUAACCCAACAUUUCACAACACGAGCUGACGACGGCCAUGCAGCACCUGUCACUAGGUUCCCGAAGGCACUCCAGCGUUUCCGCCGGAUUCCUAGGAUGUCAAACCUCGGUAAGGUUCUUCGCGUAGCGUCGAAUUAAACCCCAUGCUCCACCGCUUGUGCGGGUCCCCGUCAAUUCCUUUGAGUUUUAAGCUUGCGCUCGUACUCCCCAGGCGGCAGGCUUAUCGCGUUAGCUUCUCAGCGCAGGGGGUCGAUACCCCACACUAAUAGCCUGCAUCGUUUACGGCGUGGACUAC
rnacentral:misc_RNA from 1 species